UAAACAGAUUCAAAAAAGAAUAUUACAUAAACGUUUUAUAGCAUAGGUUUCUUAUAGCAUAAAGUAAUUUAAAUAUUUAUUACUUUCCCUAUUUAAACCACUGAAAUACUAAACAUCCUGUGUAUUAUCGUGAAUUGAUAUUGCUCAUAGUGUAGAAACUCAAGAAAUAUAUUGAUUAUACCCGUGGAAGUCGAUAAGAUAAGGUACCUUUAGUAAAUUAGGUGUGUUUAGAUUAAUUUUGUCAAGUCCUUGUGUAAAUUGUAACAAAUUUUUUUUUACAAAAAUGCAAGCUAUCACAAAAAUUGUUCCCUUAAUUCCAAAAGGAGCCAAAUCUAUUGUGUAUGUUUCUGGACCUCCACGUGUUAAAAUAUCUACAACCAGCAAAUUUUUACACUGUGCUUUCAUGGGGUUAGUAAGCACUGCAUACCCCGUGUAUGUUUUGGCAAAUUUGAAGAAUUAUCGUGGUGAUGAAUAAAUAAAUUAUGGAGUGUAUUUCAAUGAUCUUGUCUAGUCCGAAUUAAAAAAAUAGUGAAAAUAAAUAUGUAAUCUAAUUAUCAUCAA